rnacentral:rRNA from 1 species
GACGAACGCUGGCGGCGUGCUUAACACAUGCAAGUCGAACGGAAAGGCCCUGCUUUUGUUGGGUGCUCGAGUGACGAACGGGUGAGUAACACGUGAGUAACCUGCCCUUGAAUUUGGGAUAACUUCAGGAAACUGGGGCUAAUACCGGAUAGGAGCUCCUGCUGCAUGGUGGGGGUUGGAAAGUUUCGGCGGUUGGGGAUGGACUCGCGGCUUAUCAGCUUGUUGGUGGGGUAGUGGCUUACCAAGGCUUUGACGGGUAGCCGGCCUGAGAGGGUGACCGGCCACAUUGGGACUGAGAUACGGACCAGACUCCUACGGGAGGCAGCAGUGGGGAGUAUUGCACAAUGGGCGGAAGCCUGAUGCAGCAACGCCGCGUGCGGGAUGACGGCCUUCGGGUUGUAAACCGCUUUCGACUGUGACGAAGCGUGAGUGACGGUAAUGGGUAAAGAAGCACCGGCUAACUACGUG